CUCUCCUUCCGUGGCCUCCAACUGCUCUUAAAUGCAAGUAAAACUAAAUGCAUGCUCUUCAACCUCUGGACGGUUCUGACUUAGAAUAUGUGGAAGAGAAAAUACAGUAGACGGCAUCCGUCAAACGAGUGAUUUAUGACCUAUUUUAUGGGUCACGUCGUUACGCCCAUAUAUGUUCAUCCUGUCCUUCCGUUCUCACACUCUCGAGUGAGUUUUUAUUUAAACAGAUGCACUAUGUUAAAGCUGUCAUGAUGAUUGAUGUGUAGUGACCUCGUUGAACUGUGGAAUGUGUUUGAACAUUUCAAAGAGUAUGGCCCCCCCUGUUGUAGUGAACUUAACCCUUAAAAAAAUUAUUUAUGUAGGCUCAGCUAGUGAACAACAGUGAAAGUGUCUAACAAACCUGUUUCAAGUUAUUAGUGGCACUCAGACCCCAACAAACCAAAGAAAGCUCCCUUCUGUCCGGGCUGUUGUAUAUGAAAACCGUCAUGUCCGGGGGUAUUGGACAGCCGCAGUAUAAGUAAGAGCUGUGAACACUACAAGCAACCUCGAUAAACCCCAGAACACUAAAGAAGAAAUUAAAAUAAACCCAGAACACAGAACACAAGAGGAAAUUAAACAUGUCUCCUAGACAAAUUGUAGGUGUACUGUGUUCCUCGUGUCAAGAACACAAUGACAAAACCAUCGAAGACAUUCUUUGGGUAGCCCCUGAUUUGUUUUAAUGGAGUGCUGGAUAUGAGUGACGGCCAUAUGGGUUACAUUUUCCAACCGGACGAUUCAACGGUGAAGAUUUUCACAAACAGCGGCCACAGCACCCUUUUUCAAACAAAAACAGAAUUUUGAAGGUGAGGAUGUGGAAAUAAUAUAUUAUAUUAGAUUUUGUGUGCGUUAGGUAGUUUGUGGCAAAUGUUUGAUAUUACCUGUUAGAAAUUACUGCACUGUUUGGAUGUCUCUCUAAUAAGGUUUCCUCAAAUAUUAUAUAUGGUUGUUACAGAUAUUCUAAAAGUGGAAGACAUUGAAUUUUCCGGUAUGUUUUUAUGUCAAAUGUAUGUCUUUUUUUAAGUUAAAAUGUAUAUAUUUCGUAUAAAUAUAUUUAAAUAUUGUUUAAAAAUGUCUAUAGGAUACCAGACAUUUUACACAGCUGCUACCGGGAAUAAUUGAUUUGGAUCAUCCAACAUCAGCUGUUAUAACUAUCCAUGAUGAGGAUUCAGAGGAACAAACGGAGGCCUGUUCUUCUUUACGCAGCCCUACGGCCUCAAGCUAUUUUCGACCGGACAGAACCCCAACAAGAAUACCCGAGGAAAUAUGGACUCUACCUAUGAACGGCUUCGGGGGCGCUGAAACCAUAACUCCAAACAACACAAGAAGCGCAGAUUUAACACACAGCUACACACCCCCUUUGAACUCCACCCAAGAGCUAUAUAAUCUAGCACCUAAGGCGCAUCACAAUACUUUGGCAUAAGUGCACCGCGCAGAAUCACCCCGGCCCGAGAAGGGCGACUGGUCUGAAAACGAUUGGAUUCAAGAGCAUGCUCUCUAUGGAUACUGUAUGACCAGUUAUGUUUUUUUUAUUAGUUAUACAUUUUUUGAUAGAAUAUGUAAAAAAAAUGUCAUGUUUUUGUUUUCCCAGACUCCAACGAUAGCGAUACAAACCAUGCAGAAUCUACAAAGCCAGAGGACAUUGGGAUAGGAACCCCGUUAUCGAGGAUUCCUAAGAAAAGCAGGCAUCAAACAACCAGAGGCGUAUACCGACACAGAAGGCCCAAUAUGUCGAGAGGAAGAGGUCGAGGAGGAAGAGGGCGCCCAGGACAUGCAUAGUAAAACAUCGAAACCUGAUAAUUUCAACACUGUAAAUGACAAGGAUGAAGAAGACGAUGUGUUGAUGUAUGAAGCGGCCAAACAGCUUGAUACAGUCAAUUCUGAGGUAGAAACAAUAUUCAUUGAAGAUAUUCUCAAUGAGGACCCAGAUCCUGAAAAGGAUCGUCAAGAUGGGUUUCUCACAGCCUUUUACAGGGCUCUAAAAGCCAGAGAGGUCCAGCUACACAAACGUAUGGUUGCUUUACUAAGGCGUCAAUACAGUCAAGAUCUAUCCUUCUGGCAUAGAACAACGCCCCGCUUGUUAAACAACAAUCUCAUAAAAAAAAUGCACAAACAAGCACCCAAAACUGUAUGUAACAUGGCUACUUCUAGAAUACCAGAAGAACUCAUAUCCUUAAUUAACCAAAUGAAAUGAGAUAGGUCCAACCUCCCCAUCAAUAACCCAAACACAUUAACACCUGUUAUUACAGAUACCCCUAGAACUCAUAUCCUUAAUUAACCAAAUGAAUGAGACGGGGCCAACCUCUCCAUCAAUAACCCAGAUACAUGAACACCUGUUAUUACAGAUACCCCCAGAACUCAUAUCCUUAAUUAACUAAAUGAAUUAGAGCACAACAUCUUCAACACCCCCCACACAACAUCUUCAACACCCCACCCCCCACACACACACACCUCCUUUAACUCCUAUGUCCGAUGACUCUGAGCAACCCCACAAUGUUUUUGAGGAUUUGGAAAAUUGUGUAAUAAAUCAGUGGCGAUGGUAUUGAUAGAAGUGUUUGUGUUGUGUACCGCAAUAAAUUCAGCAGUACAGAGA